UACGUAGGCAGCAAGCGUUGUUCGGAAUUACUGGGCGUAAAGAGUGUGUAGGCGGUGCUCUAAGUCUGUUGUGAAAUCUCCCGGCUUAACCGGGAGGGUGCGGCGGAAACUGGAGUGCUUGAGGGUGGGAGAGGUAAGCGGAAUUCCUGGUGUAGCGGUGAAAUGCGUAGAUAUCGGAAGGAACAUCAGUGGCGAAAGCGACUUCCUGGACCAGUACCGACGUCAGGCACGAAAGCGUGGGGAGCAAACAGG
rnacentral:rRNA from 1 species